UACGAAGGGGGCUAGCGUUGUUCGGAAUUACUGGGCGUAAAGGGCGCGUAGGCGGUGUGUCAAGUCAGGCGUGAAAGCCCCGGGCUCAACCUGGGAACAGCGCUUGAGACUGGCACGCUCGAGUUCGGGAGAGGAUGGUGGAAUUCCCAGUGUAGAGGUGAAAUUCGUAGAUAUUGGGAAGAACACCCGAUGGCGAAGGCAGCCAUCUGGACCGACACUGACGCUGAGG
rnacentral:rRNA from 1 species